rnacentral:rRNA from 1 species
UACGUAGGGGGCAAGCGUUGUCCGGAAUUAUUGGGCGUAAAGAGCGUGUAGGCGGUUCAGUAAGUCUGCUGUGAAAGUCCAGGGCUCAACCCUGGGAUGCCGGUGGAUACUGCUGGGCUAGAGUACGGAAGAGGCGAGUGGAAUUCCCGGUGUAGCGGUGAAAUGCGCAGAUAUCGGGAGGAACACCUAUUGCGAAGGCAGCUCGCUGGGACGUUACUGACGAUCAGGUGCGAAAGCGUGGGGAGCAAACAGG